rnacentral:rRNA from 1 species
ACGGAGGAUCCAAGCGUUAUCCGGAAUCAUUGGGUUUAAAGGGUCCGUAGGCGGUUUAGUAAGUCAGUGGUGAAAGCCCAUCGCUCAACGGUGGAACGGCCAUUGAUACUGCUAGACUUGAAUUAUUAGGAAGUAACUAGAAUAUGUAGUGUAGCGGUGAAAUGCUUAGAGAUUACAUGGAAUACCAAUUGCGAAGGCAGGUUACUACUAAUGGAUUGACGCUGAUGGACGAAAGCGUGGGUAGCGAACAG